AACUGCAACCAACAACCUGCUCUCCAAAGCUGCUUUGUCCUAACUAAUCAAGCACUAAAAAAUCUCACAACUUGCUUCACUUCACAAACAUCAUUCUCCGAAUACUUACACAGACACUCUCUCCCUCCCUCCCUCUCUUUCUGUGAAGAAGAGGCUAAUAUGGGAUCAGUGUCGCUGAAAAUAGGAGAUGGAACAGCCAGAUUCAAGAGAGCAAGUUUCUGUUCAUCAGCAGUGAACAUUCUUAUGCUCUUCUCUGUACUAACCACUAAUCUUUUUGCAUUAUAUGCCUUCACAUCUUCUCCAAAAGACCAUCAAACUCACCUCUUUCACAAUCCCCAUAAAAAUAUAUCUUUGAUCUCUGAGCAUGUCUCUUUAAUACUAAGAGAGAUCGCUGCUUCUCAAAAAAAGCUUGCCGGGAUGGAGAAAGAGCUUUUGGGCUAUGAAACUAUGGAUAUUUCAAGGCCCAAUAUUGCAAGUGAGCUCAAAUUGUUUUUGCAACACCAUCAGCUCCCUCUUGGCAAAGAUUCAAGAACUGGGAUCACUGAAAUGGUGGCUUCUGUGGGUCAUUCUUGUGAGAAAUCUGCAGACUUGUUGUCUCAGUAUAUGGCUUACAAGGUUUCUGGGCCCUGUCCUGGUGAUUGGAGCCUUGGCCAGAAGUUGAUUUUGCGUGGAUGCGAGCCUUUGCCCAGAAGGAGAUGCUUUGCAAAGUCUGUUCAAAAGGUGGGUCUUUAUCGUUUUCCUGUUUCUCUUUGGAAACCUGUUAGUGAAAAGAUUUUAACUUGGAGUGGUCUUGGUUGCAAGAAUCUUGAGUGCUUGAAUAGAAAGAAGUUGAGCAGGGAUUGUGUUGGUUGCUUUAAUAUUACUAGUGAUUAUGAGACUCAAAGGUUUGUUAAAGCUCGAGGCAAGAAUGAUUUUAUCAUUGAUGAUGUGUUAGCUUUAGCAAGUGGGGGAAUUAGAAUUGGAUUUGAUAUUGGUGGUGGGUCUGGGACUUUUGCUGCUAGGAUGGCAGAGAGAAAUGUGACUGUGAUUACUAAUACUUUGAAUGUGGAUGCUCCAUUUAGUGAAUUUAUUGCAGCAAGAGGGCUUUUCCCUUUGUAUUUGAGUUUAGAUCACAGGUUCCCUUUCUAUGACAAUGUUUUCGAUUUAAUUCAUGCUUCUAGUGGAUUGGAUGGAGGGGACAAACCUGAAAAACUGGAGUUCCUAAUGUUUGACAUCGAUCGAAUUCUGAGGGCUGGUGGAUUGUUUUGGUUGGAUAACUUUUACUGUGCAGAUGAUGAGAAGAAGACAGCUUUGACUCGACUGAUUGAGCGGUUUCAGUAUAAGAAGCUGAAAUGGGUUGUGGGAGAGAAGAUAGACACAGCUGGGUCAGGGAAAUCAGAAGUUUAUUUGUCUGCCGUACUACAAAAGCCAGCAAGAGUGUGAUGAUUACUGGAGUUCUUACAGGAAAUUGAAAGAGUGGCAUUGCAUUCUUGUAUGUGCACAAGCUGUUCCCUUCAUUUCUGAGUUGUGUUUGGCUUUAGAAUUAAAGCGAGCUAAAUGGUUAAGAAGAUGCUGUGGGCAGAUGGCAGCUGGAGCUGGCUUUUUGGAUAUAAUUUGCUGGCUUUUCCAUAAGGGGAGGGACGUAGGAGUUUUACUAUAUUUACUCCUUUUCACCGUCCAUCACAAGUGGUUUCAAACGUUGAGGUGAUGUAUAAUCAAUGCUGUAUGGUUCUUUUCCUUGCUUUGCUUUAAUUUUCUUCUGCCAAUGUAUGAAUCGACGGUGGGACUUUUUAGAAAUUUUGAAGCUCCUCCAACUUGAUAAUUUAAUGCCUUAUCUGCAAGAUAUUAACUGCUACUGUCCUGUCAGGGGAAAUACUUCGAUUUCCAACUGGUUCGGCAGUCCUAGGCCCACCUAAUAGCCUAUUGUUAGGCUCUAAACCUAACCUAAUUCAAUACUCCAGUCAUAAUUAACUCAGGUUAAUUUUGAUUAAUUAAAACAAUAUAGUUUUAAAAUUCUUCUUAAAAUUAAACAAAACCUUAACUAAAUCGACCGUGCCAUACCGUGUCAAGAGUUUGCGAUGGCCUAUAAGCAUCCUAUUUUUCACACCAAAAAAGAGUUAUUUUUUGGAAACUUCCAAGACCUAGCCCGAGUUACUAUAACUCAAGUGAUGUAUUAAGCAAAGCAACACAGACAUAUCUCUUAAUUACCAUGUUAAUAUAUUAUAAGCUAGUAGUAAUGUCUUAGGCUUCUGUAGAAGAAUGUAUAAUCCAUCAUCCCAUUAAUUAUAAUAAGUUCAACUAACAUACAUAUCUAAUCAUAUAUCAGGAUAGACCUUGACAAAGCGGAGGCUGAAUUGGAAGUGCCCACAUGACUCACCCUCACCACUAGGGUGAGAUAUGAAAUAAGUUCGCCGGGAAAGCUUGCUUUAGGUUUGAACAGGGGAGGAACCAUUACGAUAACGUUCUUCUCCACCAGGUGGGAAAACGUCCAUUUAGUUGCGUGGGGGCAUGACUUAGCUGAAGAAGUUUUAUCAAGCAUGGAUACCCUCUGUGAUGGGGGUAUUGAUGCCUUGGAUGUUGGCGCUGUUGAGAAGCUUCAUUCCCUCCUCACUCAUCUGCUGAACUUCUGAAGGUGACAGAAUCCUAAUGCAGCGAACACAGCCAACGAAUUCCCUGCACAAGCACAUCAAACUUAGGCCUUGAAAUAGAAAGGACUUCUUUGCUAUCUACACACAAAGAAUAUAUAUAUAACCACAAGCAAACCAGCAAGAAAUUGGAAAGGGCAAAAUGACACUUACUCCCAAGGAUCAUCACCUAUGAGUAGAACAUCAUUCUCGUAGUCCACAUAUACUAAUUUCCACCCAGAACCUUUAGGGUUAUUUAGCAGCCCAUCAAGUCCAAACAUGCAUUCAAUAGCGGAGCAUAGUUCUUCAUAAUUUUUGAAACUUGAGACAUCAAUUGACCUCCCAACAGACCCUGUCUUCUGAACCUGUAAACCAUAAACAAUGUUAGCACCCAACAUUCGAGUUAAUGAAAUGUAAUAAAAUCAUGGGAAAAAAACAUCCAAAUGCCCUCAAUCUCACUCACAAACAUGCAGAGAGACUAAAACCCUGAACAAAGGUAACGUUUAAGUAUGAUUUUACUAGAUAAAGUCUUCCAUUUUGGAAUAAUCAUGCUAAUAAUCUGAUGUAUAUGACCCAAGCUGAUUGUUACCAAAGAUCUUUUAUUUACAACACAAUCAUGCAUACCUUGGUAUAUGUGCGCACACGUGGGGCUACUUGCUGCCAUGAGUUAUUCUGGAGCAGAUUGCUAUUAUCAAAUUCAAUGUUGCUUGAAGAUGUGCCACCUGAGUUGUCAGGAAAGUCUUGCCGUGAGAAAGCUUGGGAAUCUGCUAGGCUUGCUGAGGUAAUCUGAGACUGAACAUCCUGGCUUGAGCUGAGGUUGCCAACUAGACAAUCUGAAGCAUUCUGCAAAUCAGCAUCCUUUAAUGUGCAGAACUCAUCUAGAAUAGCACUUGAGACAGACCGAUCAUACACAGAACCACCACCAUUGCUAGCAUCAAUGUUAAGAGAACCAUAAAUUCCACUUUGAUCAUUGCUCUCGUCAGAUGAAUCCUUCACUGCACCUGAGUUGAAGCUACAUGGCUCUUGCUGAGCCAAAGGAAUCAAUUGGUUCGCUUCAGAUAAAAUUCUCAAAUUGCUCAUCUGAUGAUCCCACGCAUCUUGAUGCAUAAAAGGUAAAGAGGGAUCUUGUAAUCCAAACAUAGACAACGGUCCUGAUCUACACAUACUGUCAAUAGACAUUGGAUGUGAUAUCCAUUCGCCUGCGUCUAGAAAUGGAAGAGAGCAGUUUGGUGUAGUGGCAUCAGCUAGAGAUGCACGGAUCUGUUGGGAAUUAAGUAGCGAUGACUCUGCAAGUGCCUGCAUAGGCCAGAGGCUGGCUUGUAAUUGUGACUGGCCCUGAUUCUGAUUUUGGAACACCAGAUGAUUUGUGGCAUUCUGCUGAGUCAUAGGACACGAGAUUGGUUUUUGCACAAUGCACUCUCCUGUUGAGGUUGGCUGGCUUAACUGAUCUGGCAAAUGCUCAGGUUUUGCUUUGAAUUUCCCAUCAACUCCUCCAACUGACGCUUGAUUUUCAACUUUGCUCAAAGAAAGUGACUUCCCAGCUACAUUUGCUUUUGAUGAAUAUGAGUUCAUGGCAUUGGAUUGGUCUAGACAGAUCUGGGAAUAGUUUUGGUUUUCUAUGGGCGUAAUUCCUGACUGGUUUAGCUGAGGCGUCUGAUUAAUUGCUGCCUGCAUGUUCUUAACAUCUAAUGAACCCACCUUCACAGCAGAUACUUCUGGUAGUGCAGUUCCACAGAUUCCAGGAUAGUUAACAGCUUGAGGUUUCAUUAGCAUGUUAAUCAGUUGUUCAGAAUACAUGUUUGACAUUGAAGCAUAUGGAAGACUUGCAUUUCCACUCCCUGGAAGCAAUGCAAGAGGCUUUUUAACCAAACCCCCCCAUUCAGUAUCUCCU